rnacentral:lncRNA from 1 species
CUUUUUCUGCAGGGAGUUGGUGUCGCCGACUCCGGCGGGAGGGUCAGUUUGGCUGCUUGGAACCUGAGCGGUCGGCGGGAAAGCCCAGCGUGCGCAGAGCCAGAGUGGAUCUUGGAUUCGCCCUCUCGGAGGGAGGCUCGUCUGUUCGGUCUCCAGCUUCGGAUCCCUGGACCCUUUUGGCUGGCACCUCUUGUAGUCUCAGGUUCGCUGCCUCCACUGUCACUUCCCAAUUGGUGUGUGGCCGCAGACAAAUCAGUUUACCACCCUGCCUCGUCAGCCAUAAUAGUACCAUCCUAAUGUGUGGGCAGUCAUGGCGUACUGCGCUGAAGGUUGCUGCUGUCGUCGUCCUGAAAUUACCUGGCUGCUCUGAUCUGGCCGCCUUUCUUCUGGGAUUGACAGCAUCUGUCAUUACACCUUCGCGUUGAAAGUCACAGGUAGCAUUUGUCUGCCUUCUAGGACCUCCCAGGCCAGCCCCCUGAGCCCCUCCUCCCACUCAGAGCUCCUAGUCAGGUAUCAGGGGGUGUGCCUGUUUGUUGCCUCCUUGC